UACAGAGGGUGCAAGCGUUAAUCGGAAUUACUGGGCGUAAAGCGCGCGUAGGUGGUUCGUUAAGUUGGAUGUGAAAUCCCCGGGCUCAACCUGGGAACUGCAUUCGAGACUGCAUAGCUAGAGUAUGGGAGAGGGAAGUGGAAUUUCAGGUGUAGCGGUGAAAUGCGUAGAUAUCUGAAGGAACAUCAGUGGCGAAAGCGACUUCCUGGACCAGUACCGACGUCAGGCACGAAAGCGUGGGAGCAAACAGG
rnacentral:rRNA from 1 species